GGUCCAGACUCCUACGGGAGGCAGCAGUGGGGAAUAUUGCACAAUGGGGGGAACCCUGAUGCAGCGACGCCGCGUGGGUGAAGGAGCACCUCGGUGCGUAAAGCCCUAUCGGCAGGGAAGAAACAGACGGUACCUGACUAAGAAGCCCCGGCUAACUACGUGCCAGCAGCCGCGGUAAUACGUAGGGGGCAAGCGUUAUCCGGAUUCACUGGGUGUAAAGGGAGCGUAGACGGCGACGCAAGUCUGGAGUGAAAGCCCGGGGCUCAACUCCGGGACUGCUUUUGAAACUGUGUUGCUAGAUUGCAGGAGAGGUAAGUGGAAUUCCUAGUGUAGCGGUGAAAUGCGUAGAUAUUAGGAGGAACACCAGUGGCGAAGGCGGCUUACUGGACUGUAAAUGACGCUGAGGCUCGAAAGCGUGGGGAGCAAACAGGAUUAGAUACCCUAGUAAA
rnacentral:rRNA from 1 species